rnacentral:misc_RNA from 2 species
CAGAGUUCAUGCCCUUCGGGGUAGACCUCCCACCCUUUGUUAUACAUACCUUUGUUGCUUUGGCGGGCCGCCUUCGGGCUAUCGGCUUCGGCUGAUGUGCGCCCGCCAGAGAACCUAAAUUCUGAAUUAAGUGUCGUCUGAGUACUAUAUAAUAGUUA